AGUGAACGCUGGCGGUAUGCCUAACACAUGCAAGUCGAACGGCAGGACAGUAAGAUUUUGCUCUUGCGGUUGGCGGGGGGCGGACGAGUGACGCAUACAUCGGCAUCUACUUUUACGGGGAGGAUAACGGAAGGACAGUUACGCUACUGCCGCAUACGACCAACGGGAGAGUUCAAUGGAUAUUCAGAGCUUUCCCGAUUCGUAUAGCCGGUGUCGGAUUAGCUAGUUGGCGGGGUAAAGGCCCACCAAGGCGAGGAUCCGUAGCCGGGCUGAGAGGAUGACCCGCCACACUGGAAUUGAGACACGGUCCAGACUCCUAAGGGAGGCAGCAGUGGGGAAUCUUGGGCAAUGGGCGCAAGCCUGACACAGCCAUCCCGCGUGGGUGACGACGGCCUUCGGAUCGUAAAGCUCUGUUGUUCGGAAAGAAAAGCUGCAGGCGAAUACCUCGCCGUCUUGACGGUAACCAACGACGAAGCAACGGCUAACUUCGUG
rnacentral:rRNA from 1 species